CUUCCCAGUGGGUGUACGCACUUAAACGGGGGCAAAGGCAUGUCCAAAGGUAGCUAAAUUACCGGACCAGUAAUUCUGGUUCAUACAUUAAAAAGUGAAGGGGCUGACGAGUCUUUAACUGUCUCUAUUUUCAAAUUCAUUGGAAAUUUAGUUGGAAGUGCAAACGCUUUCAUGGGUGAGAAAGACGAGAAGACCCUAUGAAGUUUAUCUAGUGAAUCUUGGGGAGGGUUUCGGCUCANAUGUCCUGAGGGAGGCUUUUGCUGGGGCAGCAGGAGGGCAGGAUGAGACUCUACCUGAUUAAAGGAGUUGGUGUGCCAAAGAUCCACUAAAAAAAAAAAAGGCGAUCGGGAGAAAAAGUUACUCUAGGGAUAACAGCGUAAUUUUGUCCGGUGAGGUCUUUUUUGUUGGGGCAAGGUUGCGACCUCCAUGUUUGGCUCUGGGUAUCCAUGGACAUGUAGGAGGUCCAAAUGGUUGGGUUUGUUCCCCCAUUAAAACUC
rnacentral:rRNA from 1 species